GUCCUCUUGUUAUUUAUAUGAGGUCAGACCUGCCCGGUGAAUAAGUUUUUAACGGCCGCGGUAUAUUGACUGUGCAAAGGUAGCAUAAUCAUUAGUCUUUUAAUAGGAGGCUGGUAUGAAGGGUUUAACGAGGUGUUAACUGUCUCAUUUAAUUUAAUAUUAAAAUUUAGCUUUUCAGUCAAAAGGCUGAAAUAUUAUUGGGGGACGAGAAGACCCUAUAGAGCUUUAUAAUUAAAACUAUAUAUAAUUGUGGUUAUAUAAUUAUUAUAUAUAGUUUUAAUUAUUUUGUUGGGGUGACAAAAAUAUAUAAUUAACUUUUUGAUGUGAAUAACAUUGAUUUAUGAUUUUUAGAUCCAAUUAUUAUUGAUUGUUAGAACAAGUUACCUUAGGGAUAACAGCGUAAUCUUCCUCCAGAGUUCAUAUUUACGGGGAGGCUUGCGACCUCGAUGUUGGAUUAAGAUAAUAAUUAGGUGCAUCCGCUUAAUAUAUAGGUCUGUUCGACCUUUAAAUUCUU
rnacentral:rRNA from 1 species